rnacentral:rRNA from 1 species
GGUUCGAUUCCGGAGAGGGAGCCUGAGAAACGGCUACCACAUCCAAGGAAGGCAGCAGGCGCGCAAAUUACCCAAUCCCGACACGGGGAGGUAGUGACAAUAAAUAACAAUACGGGGCUCAUUUGGGUCUCGUAAUUGGAAUGAGUACAAUUUAAAUCUCUUAACGAGGAACAAUUGGAGGGCAAGUCUGGUGCCAGCAGCCGCGGUAAUUCCAGCUCCAAUAGCGUAUAUUAAAGUUGUUGCAGUUAAAAAGCUCGUAGUUGAACUUCGGGGUCUACCCAUUGGUCAGGCUUAAUUGUCUGCACUGGUGAGAUGGAUCUCUACCUUCUGAGGAACUUUCAUGCCAUUUAUUUGGUGUGGUUGGAAAUCAGGACUGUUACUUUGAAAAAAUUAGAGUGUUUAAAGCAGACUAUCGUCUGAAUACAUUAGCAUGGAAUAAUGAAAUAGGACGGACUGAUUCUAUUUCGUUGGUUUCUAGGAUCACCGUAAUGAUUAAUAGGGAUAGUUGGGGGCAUUAGUAUUCAAUUGUCAGAGGUGAAAUUCUUGGAUUUAUUGAAGACUAACUACUGCGAAAGCAUUUGCCAAGGAUGUUUUCAUUAAUCAAGAACGAAAGUUAGGGGAUCGAAGACGAUCAGAUACCG